rnacentral:rRNA from 1 species
UAGGGAAUCUUCGGCAAUGGGGGGAACCCUGACCGAGCAACGCCGCGUGAGUGAGGAAGGUUUUCGGAUCGUAAAGCUCUGUUGUUAAGGAAGAACGAGUGUGAGAAUGGAAAGUUCAUACUGUGACGGUACUUAACCAGAAAGGGACGGCUAACUACGUGCCAGCAGCCGCGGUAAUACGUAGGUCCCGAGCGUUGUCCGGAUUUAUUGGGCGUAAAGCGAGCGCAGGCGGUUAGAUAAGUCUGAAGUUAAAGGCAGUGGCUCAACCAUUGUAGGCUUUGGAAACUGUUUAACUUGAGUGCAGAAGGGGAGAGUGGAAUUCCAUGUGUAGCGGUGAAAUGCGUAGAUAUAUGGAGGAACACCGGUGGCGAAAGCGGCUCUCUGGUCUGUAACUGACGCUGAGGCUCGAAAGCGUGGGGAGCGAACAGGAUUAGAUACCCUGGUAGUCCACGCCGUAAACGAUGAGUGCUAGGUGUUAGGUCCUUUCCGGGACUUAGUGCCGCAGCUAACGCAUUAAGCACUCCGCCUGGGGAGUACGACCGCAAGGUUG